GGAGGGGUGGCCGAGUGGUUAAAGGCAGCAGACUGUAAAUCUGCCCGCUAACGCGUACACAGGUUCGAAUCCUGUCCCCUCCA
rnacentral:tRNA from 4 species